UCUUCGAUGGUCUAGUGGUGAUGAUUUCCGCUUGUCAUCAAACGCUGAUUACAAGUACCGCGGGAGACCGGUUUGUCACGUGACUUCGUUGUUCUCUUAGCCGUUUACUAACAAAAUAUCACAGGGGUUCGAUUCCCCGUCGGAGAG
rnacentral:tRNA from 1 species